rnacentral:rRNA from 1 species
GACGAACGCUGGCGGCGUGCUUAACACAUGCAAGUCGAACGGAAAGGCCUCUUUCGGGGGGUACUCGAGUGGCGAACGGGUGAGUAACACGUGAGUAACCUGCCCUUGACUUUGGGAUAACUUCAGGAAACUGGGGCUAAUACCGGAUAGGAGCUCCUGCUGCAUGGUGGGGGUUGGAAAGUUUCGGCGGUUGGGGAUGGACUCGCGGCUUAUCAGCGUGUUGGUGGGGUAGUGGCUUACCAAGGCUUUGACGGGUAGCCGGCCUGAGAGGGUGACCGGCCACACUGGGACUGAGCUACGGCCCAGACUCCUACGGGAGGCAGCAGUGGGGAAUAUUGCACAAUGGGUGGAAGCCUGAUGCAGCAACGCCGUGUGCGGGAUGACGGCCUUCGGGUUGUAAACCGCUUUCGCUCAUGACGAAGCUUUGUGUGACGGUAGUGGGUAAAGAAGCACCGGCUAACUACGUG